rnacentral:rRNA from 1 species
UACGUAGGGGGCAAGCGUUGUUCGGAAUUACUGGGCGUAAAGGGCUCGUAGGCGGCCAACUAAGUCGGACGUGAAAUCCCCAGGCUCAACCUGGGAACUGCGUCCGAUACUGGAUGGCUUGAAUUCGGGAGAGGGAUGCAGAAUUCCAGGUGUAGCGGUGAAAUGCGUAGAUAUCUGGAGGAAUACCGGUGGCGAAGGCGGCAUCCUGGACCGGUAUUGACGCUGAUGCGCGAAAGCCAGGGGAGCGAACGGG